rnacentral:lncRNA from 1 species
AAAAUGGGAACCAUUACAUUUGUGCCAAGUGGCAAAAUUUGGUGAAGAGAGAGAGUAAAAGAUGUUUGACACGAAAAAUAGAGGAGAAAGACCUCCUCCACCAGCUGCGACACCACAUGCGGUGGCACGCUGCCCGAGGUGGGUAGGACACACUACCUGAGGCAGCAGUGGCCACACCUGCCCGACACCUACAUUGCAAGCCUAGCUUAUAGACGUUGAGCUACCCUGCCGCAUGCAGGGGCUGUCCUAAGUGCACUAGGGCGUCACGUGCAAGCCUACUUUGCGCAGGUCCCAAGCGCGCAGGCCUACUACACUGACAACGUGCACAGUGGACAGUGCCUGCUUGUCCAUGCACAGACAGGUCCUGCCUGCACGC